rnacentral:rRNA from 1 species
GGCUUCGGCUUAGUGUCUAGCGAGCCACCUCCACCCGUGUUUACUGUACCUUAGUUGCUUCGGCGGGCCCGCAUUCAUGGCCGCCGGAGCCUCUCAGCUCGAGCACGCGACGGCGGGAGACACCACGAUCUCUGUCUGAUCUAGUGAAGUCUGAGUUGAUUGUAUCGCAAUCAGUUAAAACUUUAAACAAUGGCAUCUCUUGGUCUCCGGCAUCUAUGAAGAGCAAUACGAAAUGCGAUAACGAGUGUGAAUUGCAGAAUUCCGUGAAUCAUCGAGUCUUUGAACGCAGUUUGCGCCCCCUCGCUAUUCCGGGGGUCAUGCCUGUCCGAGCGAGAUUCCUGCCCAUCAGGCACGACUUGUUGCUAGACACGCCACUCCCACUCCGGGGGAUCAGACCGACAAAGUGAGGUCUCCGACCGGCUCCGAUCCUCGAGUGAGAGCCCCUUUGUCACCUGCUCGGUAGGCCCGCCCAGCGCUUGCAGAAAGCAAAUAAAUCUUUUUCCAGGUGGACCUCGGGAUCAGCCAGGGAUACGCGCUGAACUUAAGCAUAUCAACCCGGGGGGGAA